GGUCCAGACACAGUGAGGAUUGACAGAUUGAGAGCUCUUUCUUGAUUCUGUGGGUGGUGGUGCAUGGCCGUUCUUAGUUGGUGGAGUGAUUUGUCUGCUUAAUUGCGAUAACGAACGAGACCUUAACCUGCUAAAUAGCCCGUACUGCUUUGGCAGUUCGCCGGCUUCUUAGAGGGACUAUCGGCUCAAGCCGAUGGAAGUUUGAGGCAAUAACAGGUCUGUGAUGCCCUUAGAUGUCCUGGGCCGCACGCGCGUUACACUGACAGAGCCAGCGAGUAUUUCCUUGACCGGAAGGUCCGGGUAAUCUUGUUAAACUCUGUCGUGCUGGGGAUAGAGCAUUGCAAUUAUUGCUCUUCAACGAGGAAUCCCUAGUAAGCGCAAGUCAUCAGCUUGCGUUGAUUACGUCCCUGCCCUUUGUACACACCGCCCGUCGCUACUACCGAUUGAAUGGCUCAGUGAGACCUCCGGACUGGCCCAGAGAGGUGGGCAACUACCACUCAGGGCCGGAAAGUUGUUCAAACUCGGUCAUUUAGAGGAAGUAAAAGUCGUAAC
rnacentral:rRNA from 1 species